rnacentral:rRNA from 1 species
CCUACGGGAGGCAGCAGUCGAGAAUCAUUCACAAUGGGGGAAACCCUGAUGGUGCGACGCCGCGUGGGGGAAUGAAGGUCUUCGGAUUGUAAACCCCUGUCAUGUGGGAGCAAAUUAAAAAGAUAGUACCACAAGAGGAAGAGACGGCUAACUCUGUGCCAGCAGCCGCGGUAAUACAGAGGUCUCAAGCGUUGUUCGGAAUCACUGGGCGUAAAGCGUGCGUAGGCUGUUUCGUAAGUCGUGUGUGAAAGGCGCGGGCUCAACCCGCGGACGGCACAUGAUACUGCGAGACUAGAGUAAGGGAGGGGGAACCGGAAUGCUCGGUGUAGCAGUGAAAUGCGUAGAUAUCGAGAGGAACACUCGUGGCGAAGGCGGGUUCCUGGACAUUAACUGACGCUGAGGCACGAAGGCCAGGGGAGCGAAAGGGAUUAGAUACCCCGGUAGUC